rnacentral:misc_RNA from 1 species
AACGCACCUUGCGCUCCUUGGUAUUCCGAGGAGCAUGCCUGUUCGAGUGUCAUUAAAUUCUCAACCAUUACUAACUUUUUUUGGUUAGUCAUGGCUUGGAUGGUGGGGGUUUCUCCUGCUGGCUUUGAAAGAAGUCUGCUCCCCUUAAAUGUAUUAGCUUGGUGUACUUACGGACCCUCUUUGGUGUGAUAAUUAUCUAUGCCGCUAGAUGUUGUCUGUUUAGCACUGCUUUCUAAUCGUCUUUUUUGACAAUAUUUAUAUGACUAUUUGACCUCGAAUCAGGUAGGACUACCCGCUGAACUUAA